AUUGAACGCUGGCGGCAGGCCAAACACAUGCAAGUCGAGCGCGCGGCGGACGGGUGAGUAAUGUCUGGGAAACUGCCUGAUGGAGGGGGAUAACUACUGGAAACGGUAGCUAAUACCGCAUACCAUCAGAUGUGCCCAGAGGGGAUUAGCUGGUGGGUGGGGUAACGGCUCACCUAGGCGACGAUCCCUAGCUGGUCUGAGAGGAUGACCAGCCACACUGGAACUGAGACACGGUCAAGACUCCUACGGGAGGCAGCAGUGGGGAAUAUUGCACAAGGGGCGCAAGCCUGAUGCAGCCAUGCCGCGUGUGUGAAGAAGGCCUUCGGGUUGUAAAGCACUUUCAGCGGGGAGGCGUUACCCGCAGAAGAAGCACCGGCUAACUCCGUGCCAGCCGCCGCGGUAAUUC
rnacentral:rRNA from 1 species